AAAGAAGAGGGAGAUCAGAGAGAUAAAACUGAAUACCAUUUGAUAAGGAGCGGUAUGACCUUACGAACCUGAAAUGUGUGAUUCAACAAUUAAGAUUAACAUGUAACUUGGUCUAUCUCGCACGCUUGAUAGUGUAUACGUAUAAUAUGUGUAUGUUAUUUAAGCCCGUAAAAGAGCGAACAAGGUGGUAACCAGCAAGAGCAAGUAUAAUCUUAAAAAAAUGAACGCAUGCUCCACUAAUCGAUU